UGCUACCCCCUAAUGCCAGCCCUGGCUUUUAUAUGCAUAAAAUCAGUUCCUGUGGCACAGCUGGGCCAUGGAGUUUUUAUAGCAUGUUGCGGGGGCCUCA